CUCUUUUUGCCACCGGGCAAGGAGUUCAAGGUGUUCAGAAAUAUUCCGUAGGUCUUUGAAGGAAUGUUUCCGGGACACCUUUUUUA
rnacentral:ncRNA from 1 species